rnacentral:tRNA from 1 species
GGCGAGAUGGCCGAGCGGUCUAAGGCGCUAGAAUCAGGUGUUUACUUGAAUCUAGUCUUUCGGGGCGUGGGUUCGAAUCCCACUCUCGUCA